rnacentral:snRNA from 1 species
AGCUUUGUGCAGUGGCAGUAUCAUAGCCAAUGAGGUUUAUCCAAGGUGCAGUUAUUGCUAAUUGGAAAAGAUAUCAUUUUG